rnacentral:rRNA from 1 species
AGAGUUUGAUCCUGGCUCAGAACGAACGCUGGCGGCGUGCCUAACACAUGCAAGUCGAACGGGGUGAUGGCUUCGGUCAUCACUUAGUGGCGGACGGGUGAGUAACACGUGGGAACCUGCCCAUCAGUGGGGAAUAACAGCGGGAAACCGCUGCUAAUACCGCAUACGUCCUUCGGGAGAAAGGCUUCGGCCGCUGAUGGAGGGGCCCGCGUCCGAUUAGCUAGUUGGUGGGGUAACGGCCUACCAAGGCUACGAUCGGUAGCUGGUCUGAGAGGACGACCAGCCACACUGGGACUGAGACACGGCCCAGACUCCUACGGGAGGCAGCAGUGGGGAAUAUUGGACAAUGGGCGCAAGCCUGAUCCAGCCAUGCCGCGUGGGUGAUGAAGGCCCUAGGGUUGUAAAGCCCUUUCGGCGGGGAAGAUAAUGACGGUACCCGCAGAAGAGCCC